GCAACAUAAGAAAAUUUUUUCAUGAGAAAAUUUUUUAACUUCUAAUUUUUUUUUUCAACAAAAUGAACAACAAAAACCAAACAGAAUUUGAUAAAACAAGAACAAGUUGUACAUUAUGCUGAUUCAGAUGAAAAAAAAUAGAAGACAUCAGAUUGAAUUCUGCAGACUUGGCAAGGAAAAGCAGGAAAAAAAAGAGUAAGAACCUUGAAGUGUUGUAGAAUAAAUCCUAAAAACUACUCUUUUAAAGAAAAAAGAAAGAACCCUUUGGGUUGAGGCUAAUCUAUCUCCCUUAAAAAAUUCAUUGUGUUGACUCGAAAUUGUAAUGUCUCUUAGCUGCCAUUAUUGCUUAGAUACAAGGAUGUCGAAGUCACUAACAGUCCAUUCGGCAACCUGAUCAGGGGCUUUGAAAAUUUCAGUUCCCAAGUCAACAGACAUCCAUUGCCUCCUAGCUGGAGGAGUCCCUGGAUCCUGAUAAAAGUAAAGAGAUUGUGACAACCUCCCAACAUCAAGCUCCCAUGUUCUUGGAUCACCAAUCCAACCCUCACCUUGGCUAGUUGGAUAUCCAUACUCACCCCAAACAGGAUGCGGCAAAAUCUGCAAUAUUUCCUGAGGCUGAGGAUUGCUAUAUGGAUCACACAAACUGUAAGGCACCUCAAGAUGUUCUGCAUUCCCUGGAGAACAGUGCAAGUGAUAGGCUGCAUAAGGGAAGCGAGCAGUGUCAUUGCGAUGAACACGUGUUCCAUUGGCAAAUGUGUGGUAGGGUGGGCAGACAUUAAGGUUGUUAGGAUGGCACAAUGAACUUGUAUAAGGGUUUAUGAUCAUUUCGCUGUAUCGAGUAACGUCUGAAGUGACAUUUCCAUCACAAUGUUGUCCAUUGUUCUUCCAACAGCUUCCUAUGUCCAUUAGGUAAAACUGACUGCUAGGACCCCCACCUUUAAUUACUUUCAAAGUGAACCUCACCUUAAAAUUUGGUGAUUCUGGUAUAAUUUUGGACAUUCCCCUUGUGGGGUAAUGAUAGCCACUAGAAAGUCCAUAUGUGGCAUCCGACCUUAAGUAAAGCAUCAACCAUGGAUACUUUGUUGAAGUCCUCAAGACAUGGUGGAAAACCCAACUGCCCUUUCCAACUUCCUUCUCCCAACUUACAGAAUGGUAAGAAAUGUUACCCAACAAUCCUUUUCUCAAAUCAGCGUCCAAAUCCCAUGUCCCAUAAAACCUACCUUUAAGAGUAGUCCUAUUAGGCCCUUGCAGACUAGUAUAGUCAUGAUAAAUAAAUGGUUGGUUCAUGCACCCUUGUCCAAAGCAAGGAAACCCAGAAUCAGGGCCAAAAGGUCCCACUUUGUGGCCAUUUUUGGGGCACUUGGCUGCAUAAGUGUCCAUGUUCCCACUCUUGAGCAUGAUCAUCCAAAACUGCCAUGGAUUUGGACUGUCUUCAACUUGACAUUUAGAGCCUAAGUAGAGUUCUUUCUCUGCAGCAUAAAGAUUUACAUCAUAAAGGGACUUUGGUUGCACUCCAAGAAAGGGGUCUCCAACACCUAGUUUGUUGUCUUCCUCUGUGACUCUGUGCACCAACAUGUAGGGCAGCAAACUGCAGAUGGAGCAAUUCUUUUCUUUUGCCUGAGGAGAAGCCUUGUAUAUGUCAAAGCAAUCUGCAGCUCUUGGGCUGCCCAUGUAAGGAACUUCUUCUCCAACCUCAUU
rnacentral:misc_RNA from 1 species